ensembl:snRNA LOC120099053 U6 spliceosomal RNA
GCCCCCCUCAUGGACACUUAAAAUUGGAUCCAUAUAGAAAGAUUAACACAGCCCUUGCUUAAGGAUGACUUGUAAGUUCAUGAAACAUUCUCUCUCUCU